GACGAACGCUGGCGGCGUGCUUAACACAUGCAAGUCGAACGGACUACUUUGCUUCGGUAAGGUGGUUAGUGGCGAACGGGUGAGUAACGCGUAGACAACCUACCUCUUAGAUGGGGACAACAUCGCGAAAGCGGUGCUAAUACCGAAUGAAGUGACUUUCCUGCAUGGGAGAGAUACUAAAGGUGGCCUCUAUUUAUAAGCUAUCACUGAGAGAUGGGUCUGCGUCUGAUUAGCUAGUUGGCGGGGUAACGGCCCACCAAGGCGACGAUCAGUAGCCGGUGUGAGGCGGUGACCGGCCAACUUGGGACUGAGACACGGCCCAAACGCCUACGGGAGGCAGCAGUGGGGAAUCGUCCGCAAUGGACGAAAGUCUGACGGAGCAACGCCGCGUGAGUGAAGAAGGUUUUCGGAUCGUAAAGCUCUGUUGUUUGAGACGAAUGUGCCUGUUUCGAAUAGGGAUAGGUAAUGACGGUAUUAAACGAGAAAGCCACGGCUAACUACGUGCCAGCAGCCGCGGUAA
rnacentral:rRNA from 1 species